UGAUUUUUAUUUAUUUAUUUUUUUAACCAAGUCAAAGAUCAUAAAAAUUUUAUUUUUUCAUUGCUUGUCUGCCCAAGGCAGGGAGGAGACAAUGUUCAUAGAGGAAAUUGUAAGAGAUAUUUCAGAUAAAUUACAUUAUACAUCAUCAAGAGAUACUUGCAACCUGGUUGGAAUGGGUACCCACAUAACAGAAAUGGAAAAGAUAUUAUGCUUGGAGUCGAAUGCUGUCCAUAUGGUAGGAAUC
rnacentral:misc_RNA from 1 species